UACGUAGGGUGCAAGCGUUUGUCCGGAAUUAUUGGGCGUAAAGAGCUCGUAGGCGGUCUGUCGCGUCUGCUGUGAAAACUCAGGGCUUAACCCUGAGCUUGCAGUGGGUACGGGCAGACUAGAGUGCGGUAGGGGAGACUGGAAUUCCUGGUGUAGCGGUGAAAUGCGCAGAUAUCAGGAGGAACACCGGUGGCGAAGGCGGGUCUCUGGGCCGUAACUGACGCUGAGGAGCGAAGAGCAUGGGGGAGCGAACAGG
rnacentral:rRNA from 1 species